UUCGCAAUGCCCGAAAGGGUGACGAAGCGACGCCGCGUGGGUGAGGAAGGCCCUCGGGUUGUAAAGCCCUGUCAGGAGUUAAGAAAUGUAGGUACGCUAAUAUCGUAUCUAUUUGACAAAGGCUCCAAAGGAAGCCACGGCUAACUCUGUGCCAGCAGCCGCGGUAAUACAGAGGUGGCAAGCGUUGUUCGGAAUUAUUGGGCGUAAAGAGCACGUAGGUGGAUUUGUAAGUCAGAUGUGAAAGCCUUCUGUUCAACGGGAGAAUUGCAUCUGAAACUACAAACCUUGAGUAUAGGAGGGGAGAAUGGAACUUCUGGUGGAGCGGUGAAAUGCGUAGAUAUCAGAAGGAACGCCGGCGGCGAAAGCGAUUCUCUGGCCUAUUACUGACACUCAGUGUGCGAAAGCUAGGGGAGCAAACGGGAUUGGAUACCCCGGUAGUCCUAGCCGUAAACGAUGGGCACUAAGUAGAGGGGUUUU
rnacentral:rRNA from 1 species